AAGUGGGUCUCUCCCAGGAAUCAGCAGCAUCCUUGUGUUUUUCAAGGUAUUCAGACAGACCUUGCCAACACCUGGGCAGCUUUAGAAAGCUCUGUCCUUCUCAGGUAGGAUUCAUGUUCACAUUUCCAGAUUAAAUCACCAGUGCCACUGGAACUUGAGAAUGAAGAGAGAUCAUUCUUAGCCUGAACAAAAGGGACUUCAUGCCUGACUUGUUCCCCAGGGUGAACAAACACAGCCAUGUUUACCCUCACCAGGGCACAUUUGCAAGCUGAAAAAGACUGGGCAUAUUCAUCCAUUUCCUAUUUAGAGUAAUAGGGAGCUCAGCUGGGAUGGUUACUAGGUUCACAAAGAAAGAGGCAAAAUUUUGGCAAGUCAUUGGGAGACCUAGCAACAAAAUUCGCUUCCCCCCCACUCCUUUCCCAUCCAUUUGAAAUGCAGGUUGCCUCAAAGCAGCAUGAAAUCCCUGGGAACUUCUUGUGCCCUUUCAACAAAUCAGCUCGAUGAAGGGAGAUGACUCAGUCUCCUCUGCCCCUGAAAGCCAGAGCCAACUCUGGCUACCAGCACUCUUGGCUUCACAAAAGAACAAUUUACCCUGGUUCCCUCCCAGACUCCAGUCAGUCUCCCUGAAACUUCAAGUGGCAUCAAAGAGGCAUUUCAUUUACAUGACCUUCCUCAGGAGCUGGGUGAGAAGCCGCAACACAUAACAGGCAUCCGAGUCUACCGGAGUUGCAUGUUUGACUUGCUAGGCUGAAAGCAUCUUGAAGGUAAAAAGAGUAUCUUACACAGCUCUGUACUCUCAGUGUCUAGCCCAGAGCAAGAGACAAAAUAGAAGCUAAUAUAUCUGCUGAAUUAAUAAUGAAUGAAGGAGCAGCAACGACAAAGGGAAGAAAUGGAAGGGAGAGAUUAGCAGGUAAUGGCAAGAAGGGAUUGAAAAGCAGACCUCUGUCUUUACCUUGAGAAUACAAAGCACAAUCUUAUACAACAAUUACAUUGCUUUGGAUUCCAGUGCCCUCCUAUGCGGAGCAUCUGGUUAGGUAUUUGUUGUUCUGAGAGAUUCAAGGUAAGGAAUGAAUUAGGUAGAAUAGAUUGUUCAGUUAGGAGUAUAAAUGACUAGAAGUGAGAGGUAGCAUCAUGGAUGGGCAUUGUCCCAGCCAUAAAGUGAAUAGAGCACUAUGGUGGAUUCUCCCACUCUACCUGCUAGAACUUAUUCCCCACUCUCCCUUAAUGUUUUCCUUCUCAUCUGGUUGAAUCUACAUUUUACUGACUCUAUAAAAAUAUCUUAUUAAUUUCUACUUUACCACCUUUUCUCAGUUUCCCCUUUUCUGUUGUUUCUUCUCCCCCUUCUCACAUAUAAAAAUAUGGUCCUUUAAAGAUCAAUUAUAUUUUUCUGCCUUCAGACUCUUUUAAGACGUGCAAAUAAAUCUAAGCCUGUCAUCUUUGGAACACCUACAAUAUCGCCACCUACACUAUACAAUCGAUAGAUGACAUAACUGCGAAGAACACUGUAUUGCCUACUGCUUUAUCCACUCAGUUUGUCUUCCAACCAGACUAUAAAACUCUUUCAGUUCAGGUAUUACACUUUGGACUUUUUGUAAUCCUUUAAAGUACUGGCCUUAUAAGAUGCCAGUUACUUCAUAAAUAACUGAUUGAGAAAAAUGGGUUACUAGAUAACUUAUAUAUAUGUAACAUCAUCCUCAGUCAGCUGAUUAUCCUACCGAAAUCUUGCUUUUGGUGCAUCUGAUUUUAUAAUUCUAUAUGGGUAUACGUAUGUAAGCAUAAAUAUGGUUAUAGUUAUAGGUGUAAAUAUAGAGAAGUAAAAAGAGCUCUCUCACUGUUUUAUUGGACAUUUCAUAUUCAAGUAGUUCUUGUACUUGCAAGCUUCUUUUCUCUUAUUUCUUUCUAAGAGGGGAUGAUAAAUAGUUGUUUACUGCACUUUGAAUAAUGGACUGUCACGAAUGCUACUUCUGGUUUCCUCCUUUCUUGGCUAAACAACCUUAGCCCCUUUAGACAUUUCAAUGCCAUGAACAGAUGCUCAAUAAUAUUACUAGGUGGUUUGCCAUAAUUUAUAGUGCUUAUUUAUGGAAGCUGAUGAAAAUAGAAGCCUUAUGUAUUUUUAAACUUUUCUUUCACAUAUGGCAUACUUUACAGAGAGUGAGGAUUUAGAUGAAUGCAUGGAUGAAUGCAGCUAAUAUUAUUAUUUUGGUCUCAUCUAAAAGGGGGGAAACAUAGGAAACAUUAGAAUGAAAGCUAAAAUGCAAAAGAUGCUAUUUUACUAUUAACUCAGACUUUUCUUAUGCCAGAUGGUGUUGGAGGAAAGCUUUUGAUUUUUUGAUGAUAGGCAUCUUCUUUGAAUUUUGCUAGCCAGACACAUUUCCUCUCUUCUCAGCAUGCAGAGACAGAGCAGCCAUCUUUUAUAUACCUCCUAGAUACAGUAACUGGUUUGGCAUUUCCCAGUGACUGUGGAUCUGGCAAUUGCUCAGAAUUUCAUUAGCGCUCCAGUCAUGUGUAGAAGAUGCUCCCAGAGAUAAGCAUGAGAUCUUCAUCAGUAGAGUUAUUUUAGGCUCAGCUUUACUAAAAUGGCAUCAAAUUCUAAUAGAACCUACCAGACUUAAUUGAAGGUGCUAUAGUGAACUAACAACAAUGUACUGUGAUAUCCAAAAUACCAACACAAUACUACAAGUAAUCUCAAAUGUGUGUGUUUGUGUGUGUGUGCACGUGAUGUAUACGGUAGAGUUGAUGUAUAUGGUAGUGGGUUGUUUUUGUACCAUGCCAGAUAGGUCUUGAUAUUGUCCCUCAAGAAAGAUAUAAGAUUAUGAAAGGGAAGGAUAACUGAAUAAGCAAAGGAGAAAGCCGUUGCCAUGUUAUAAAACUAGAUCUUGAGAUGGAAGGAAAUUGAGAGGUCAGUUUAACACAACUUCUUACUUGAUGGGGAAUGCCAUUUCCAUUGUCAUCAGUAAAUAUCAACUAUCCUUGGAAGUCUAUAUUAAAAGAUUAUUAUUUUGUAAACAUAAAGACAGAAAGAAGAAGAAUUGAAACUAUUACUUUUCAAUUAAUAGUUGGGAAGACUAAAGAUAGAGUAAGCAUGGAUUUAGUCACCUAUUAACAGAAUAUCAGACUUUAAGGCACUUCUUGAAGUUGAGAGAUAGGUUUGUGCAUGUGGCAUUUAGCUCAGCAGGACAGAAUGGAAAUUACACUUCUAGUCCUCAGUGCUGGAUUCUAGCACAGGCUCCAUAUAGCUAGCUGUGUAGCACUAAGGUAUACACAUGGCUUCUUACCUGUUAAAUGAACAAGUAGAAUUAAAUGAUUCCUAAGUUCUUUUUCAGCAAGAAAUUAUGUUAUCCUAAGGAAAAUAUUUACUUCUAACAGU
ensembl:lncRNA